CAAUGUUACUCCAUCUCCUAUACCACUAUAUAUACAACCCCUCUCCUCCAUCAUUUCUCACUUCUCUCAUUCCUUAGCUCAUCUACCAAAAGUUAUUUGGUUUCUAUUUUCAACAAAAUAGGUCCUAAAUUUUUUUUUCUCUUUUGAAAUAUAUAGAUAGAUCCAAAACUCAUGCUUCUGAAGAAAUGUUGGAUUUAGAUUUGGGUUUGAAGUGUUUCAGCGCAGCUUUUAUCGUUUGUCUAGAUUUGAGUUGUGGAAGAUAAUAUUUUAGAAACUGAAUUUUUACAGUUGUGUAAAUUGGGAAAUACUUGUUUGUUUUUUACUUUUUGACUACAUUUACAGUUACAUUUACGUAUUUAUUCAAGUGUGUACAUAUUAGUUUUGUUAAAUAAAAUAAAGUGAAAUUCAUUAAUUUUAUUUUAA